AAUCUUGGACAAUGGGCGCAAGCCUGAUCCAGCCAUGCCGCGUGAGUGAUGAAGGCCUUAGGGUCGUAAAGCUCUUUCGCCAGAGAUGAUAAUGACAGUAUCUGGUAAAGAAACCCCGGCUAACUCCGUGCCAGCAGCCGCGGUAAUACGGAGGGGUUAGCGUUGUUCGGAAUUACUGGGCGUAAAGCGCACGUAGGCGGAUUAGUUAGUCAGAGGUGAAAUCCCGGGGCUCAACCCCGGAACUGCCUUUGAUACUGCUAGUCUUGAGUUCGAGAGAGGUGAGUGGAAUUCCGAGUGUAGAGGUGAAAUUCGUAGAUAUUCGGAGGAACACCAGUGGCGAAGGCGGCUCACUGGCUCGAUACUGACGCUGAGGUGCGAAAGUGUGGGGAGCAAACAGGAUUAGAUACCCUGGUAG
rnacentral:rRNA from 1 species